UGUGUAGGCGGUUCUUUAAGUUUGGUGUGAAAUCUCCCGGCUCAACUGGGAGGGAGCGCCGAAUACUGAGGGACUAGAGUACGGGAGAGGAAAGUGGAAUUCCUGGUGUAGCGGUGAAAUGCGUAGAUAUCAGGAGGAACACCGGUGGUGUAGACGGCUUUCUGGACCGACACUGACGCUGAGACACGAAAGCGUGGGUAGCAAACAGGAUUAGAUACCCUGGUAGUCCACGCCCUAAACGAUGCAUAUUUGGUGUGGGCAGUUCAUUCUGUCCGUGCCGGAGCUAACGCGUUAAAUAUGCCGCCUGGGGAGUACAGUCACAAGGCUGAA
rnacentral:rRNA from 1 species